GCGCUCCGGCGGCUCGGCCCGUCCCUUGGGGACCGGGUCCCGAGGCCGCUCGGAGAGCAAUCCGGCGCUGCCCGCAGGUGUCGGCGGCGGCUGAGCCACCGGCCUCAUGGUGGGUUUCGGGGCCAACCGGCGGGCGGGCCGCCUGCCGUCCUUCGUGCUGGUGGUGCUGCUGGUAGUCAUCGUUGUCCUUGCCUUCAACUACUGGAGCAUCUCCUCCCGCCACGUUCUGCUUCAAGAGGAGGUGGCCGAGCUGCAGGGCCAGGUCCAGCGCACCGAGGUGGCCCGUGGGCGCCUGGAGAAGCGCAAUUCGGACCUUUUACUCUUGGUGGACACGCAUAAGAAACAGAUCGACCAGAAGGAGGCCGACUACGGCCGCCUC
rnacentral:lncRNA from 1 species